UGCAGUCGAGCGGUUGCACAGAGAGCUUGCUCUCGGGUGACGAGUGGCGGACGGGUGAUUAAUGUCUGGGAAACUGCCUGAUGGAGGGGGAUAACUACUGGAAACGGUAGCUAAUACCGCAUAACGUCGCAGACCAAAGAGGGGGACCUUCGGGCCUCUUGCCAUCGAAUGUGCCCAGAUGGGAUUAGCUGUGGUGGGGUAACGGCUCACCUAGGCAACCAUCCCUAGCUGGUCUGAAAGGAUGACCACCCACACUGGAACUGACACACGGUCCUCACUCCUACGGGAGGCAGCAGUGGGGAAUAUUGCACAAUGGGCGCCUGCCUGAUGCAUGCAUGCCGCGUGUGUGAAGAAGGCCUUCGGGUUGUAAAUUACUUUCGGCGGGGAGGAAGGUGUUGUGGUUAAUAACCUCUUUGAUUGACGUUACCCGCAAAACAACCACCGGCUAACUCCGUGCCAGCAGCCGCGGUAAUACGGGAGGGUGCAAGCGUUAAUCGGAAUUACUGGGCGUAAAGCGCACGCAGGCGGUCUGUCAAGUCGGAUGUGAAAUCCCCGGGCUCAACCUGGGAACUGCAUUCGAAACUGGCAGGCUAGAGUCUUGUAGAGGGGGGUAGAAUUCCAGGUGUAGCGGUGAAAUGCGAUAGAGAUCUGGAGGAAUACCGGUGGCGAAGGCGGCCCGCCUGUGACUACUGACUGACGCUCAGGUGAAGAAAUCGUGAGGAGCAAAGCAUGAUAAAGAUCCCGCCUGGUAGUCCACGUCAGUAAACGAUGACUA
rnacentral:rRNA from 1 species